GUUAGUAUGUAACAUGGGGUAACAGGAUGGGUGUAAUAAGUCAUAUGUAAUGAUGUGUGUUAGUAUGUAACAUGAUGUGUGUAAUAAGUAAUAUGUAAUGAUGUGUGUUAGUAUGUAACAUGAUGUGUGUUAGUAUGUAACAUGGGGUAACAUGAUGGGUGUAAUAAGUAAUAUGUAAUGAUGUGUGUUAGUAUGUAACAUGAUGUGUGUUAGUAUGUAACAUGGGGUAACAUGAUGGGUGUAAUAAGUCAUAUGUAAUGAUGUGUGUUAGUAUGUAACAUGGGGUAACACGAUUGGUGUAAUAAGUCAUAUGUAAUGAUGUGUGUUAGUAUGUAACAUGGGGUAAUGUGAUGGGUGUAAUAAGUCAUAUGUAAUGAUGUGUGUUAGUAUGUAACAUGGGGUAAUGUGAUGGGUGUAAUAAGUCAUAUGUAAUGAUGUGUGUUAGUAUGUAACAUGGGGUAACAUGAUGGGUGUAAUAAGUAAUAUGUAAUGAUGUGUGUUAGUAUGUAACAUGAUGUGUGUUAGUAUGUAACAUGAUGUGUG